UUGAACUUGGAACGUGCAAUCAAAUUUCAUGAAAUUAUCAUUUACACAAUGCAACUGUGGUGGUAUCAGUUACACAGAUCGUCCGAACUGGCUUGUUAUUUGCGUCACUGCCUCACAAUAUUAUUUGCCGGCACAGCAUUUCUACGGGUUCUCGUCCUAAUGCAUAGCCCACCCGAUUUAUUCGUUUUACACAUUCACAAGACAAAUGCUUUGGUACGUUAAAGAGACCAAUAAACUCUGGACGUUUUUAUCACAUCCGUUUUCGACCACCAAUCUGGAGGAAAACGCCGUGUUUGUUUGCGAGAUUACCACAAGCGUUCGCAAAAGGUAAACGACACGGAUGCGCUGUUAUCAAUCGCCACUGGAAGGUAUCCAGUUCACCUCAACAUUUUAAAAUACCAAUUUAAAAAAUCAUAAAAUUUGAAGAAUUUAAAGAUUAGUAUUAAAACAAUUUAAUCAUUAGGAGUUUAAUCUCAUAUAUAUAUAUAUAUUCAGUGAAGUAUCUAUCAUGAACCAAUUAAUUUAUAAUUACUGAGUAUCCACAUUAUGAUGUCAUCGAUUAAUAUCGAAAUCACAAUAUAUGGGAUAUCUAACGACUGAUUCAAACGCCAGUAUUUUUCGAUAUAUCAAAAAUACCAUGGUUAAAAAAAAAGUAAAAGUAAGUACAGGAUAAUAAAAUACCUUCUCAGCUUCGCAUCGAAGCUAAUAAAAAAGGCGCUUAUAAAAAUGAUUCAUUUGAUCAAAUCAAUUUAUCAUGUCUCAAGCUCAUGACAUAUUAAUUAUAAAAAAAAAUAUGCGUGAAAUCCAAAAUUCAAAUAAGAAUAAUGGUUAAAAUACAAAAGAUUAUCUUUAUUACGUCUACUAUCGUAGUGUAGUUGUUUAUCAAAUGAAAAAUGUCUUGCCUUUAUAAUACACCGAAAUAAUUUAAAGCAUAUGAACUUUAAACAAAAGAAUCAGUAGAGCGUAUUUCACAUUGCUGCAUUAGUUCAAACGAUUUUGUCAAAUAGAUGUUCCGAGCACUUAUUUCAACAUUUACUGUAUUAGAAGUGAAAAGGUUAAUUCGAUAUCAAAAAAUAUAUUACCCAAUCUUAAAUUCAAGAACCAUAGGUGCAACUUAAUAUUUGGUAGGAGGUGAAGUCCUAGUAACUUUAAUACUGAGGAAGUUGUAUCAUCAAAAUAUAUUAAAUACAAUCUUAGUUUUGAUCGAAGAAAUAUUCAAAUAAAUACUAAUAUAACUAUUUUAUUCUGAAAUUUUGAGGUAACCUUAAGUUUCUAUACUGUUUUUUUAAUUUGAAAAAAUUAAAAAAUCGUUUCGAAUUUACUUACCUUAAAACCAACGUCAAAUUAAAUAGACGUUUCUUUAACAGAACUUUUUGUAAGCUUUAAUUUUUAUCAA